rnacentral:lncRNA from 1 species
GUCCAGUCCAGGGCUGCAGCUCUUGGUCACCAUGGGACUGAGUUGCUCCUCCCUGAGCCCUGACCUCCCUUCCCAGCUGGGGCUUCGACUGGAGCACGCAGAGGAAAUUGUGGACAGGCUAUUCUUUGGUCCAAAGUCACACUGGGGACAGGAAGAGAAGAGAAAGGCCCAGCCAGACAAGCCUCGAAGCCCAGAGCCAGGGCCAGCCAUCCCUGAGUGUCCAGGAGAAAGAUCCAGAAAGAUGAGAGACCUGCAACAAAAGCCCUGGAAGACCCAAGCAUCACUGGCCACCCUGAGCACCAGCACCGGGGGCUCACUGCGCGGCCUACAGCUGGAGGGUGGACUGGAGGAGCAGCGACACAGCAGGACACUGUUUCAGAAGCGAGGCUCCCUGUUCCUCAGGUGUGUGUGCCCUUCAUCCAGCUGACCCCCUUGGUGUGAUAACAGGC